UUCGCAAUGCCCGAAAGGGUGACGAAGCGACGCCGCGUGCGGGAAGAAGGCCUUCGGGUUGUAAACCGCUGUCGGGAGUUAGGAAGUGCAAGGAUGUUAAUAGCGUCUUUGCUUGACUAAGGCUCCGGAGGAAGCCACGGCUAACUCUGUGCCAGCAGCCGCGGUAAUACAGAGGCGGCAAGCGUUGUUCGGAAUUAUUGGGCGUAAAGAGCACGUAGGCGGCCGUGUAAGUCGGUUGUGAAAGCCUUCCGCUCAACGGGAGAACGGCAUCCGAUACUGCAUGGCUCGAAUGCGGGAGAGGAGAGUGGAACUUCUGGUGGAGCGGUGAAAUGCGUAGAUAUCAGAAGGAACGCCGGCGGCGAAAGCGGCUCUCUGGCCCGUAACUGACGCUGAGUGUGCGAAAGCUAGGGGAGCAAACGGGAUUAGAUACCCCGGUAGUCCUAGCCGUAAACGAUGGGCACUAAGUAGAGGGGUUUU
rnacentral:rRNA from 1 species